UACAGAGGGUGCGAGCGUUAAUCGGAAUUACUGGGCGUAAAGCGCUGGUAGGUGGCUAUUUAAGUCGCGUGUGAAAGCUCCAGGCUCAACCUGGAAAGGGCGCGCGAAACUGGGUAGCUUGAGUGCCGGAGAGGGUCGCGGAAUUCCCGGUGUAGAGGUGAAAUUCGUAGAUAUCGGGAGGAACACCAGAGGCGAAGGCGGCGACCUGGAAGGUAACUGACACUGAGCAGCGAAAGCGUGGGGAGCAAACAGG
rnacentral:rRNA from 1 species